AAUGGAUCAUAAUUCAUAAUAUGAGUCACCCCAUUGCUUAUAGAUACGCAGUCGUAUUUGUCUCCUUGUCCAUUGCUCAAAGCAUCAGUUUUUUCCUCUUGUAGUUGCUUCUAUGCAUUUGCAGGACACAUAGACACUAGGAAGACGAAGUUAGAAAAUUAUUGUAGUUUGUUUUGUAUUUAUAUAUGUAGUACAUUUU
rnacentral:lncRNA from 1 species